rnacentral:rRNA from 1 species
CAGGCCUAACACAUGCAAGUCGAACGGAAAGGCCCAGCUUGCUGGGUGCUCGAGUGGCGAACGGGUGAGUAACACGUGGGUGAUCUGCCCCUAACUUCGGGAUAAGCUUGGGAAACUGGGUCUAAUACCGGAUAGGACAAUCGUUUAGUGUCGGUUGUGGAAAGUUUUUUCGGUUAGGGAUGAGCCCGCGGCCUAUCAGCUUGUUGGUGGGGUAAUGGCCUACCAAGGCGUCGACGGGUAGCCGGCCUGAGAGGGUGGACGGCCACAUUGGGACUGAGAUACGGCCCAGACUCCUACGGGAGGCAGCAGUGGGGAAUAUUGCACAAUGGGCGCAAGCCUGAUGCAGCGACGCCGCGUGGGGGAUGACGGCCUUCGGGUUGUAAACCUCUUUCGACAGGGACGAAGCUUUGGUGACGGUACCUGUAUAAGAAGCACCGGCUAACUACGUGCCAGCAGCCGCGGUAAU